UACUUUAUGUCGUCAAAUGGUUUCAGGGAUAUAUACUCGGAAAUCCAAUGACUUAGUAUGGUGAAGCCAAUUAUCGGAUUCCAUUUGCUCAUGGAAUGGGACUUAUUUCUGAUGAACUAUAUGAGUCCUUGAUGACAAAGUGUAACGGAGACUACUUGACUCCAAAUCAAAGCAAUACAUUCUGUUUGCAAGAUGUUGAGACAUUUAAAGAGGUUGAAUUCUAUCUGCACUAAAAUUAUAUGUAUAUCCUCCUCUGCAAGUUUGUUAAAAUAGUACCGACCUUUUUAUGCAACUUAUUGAAGAAGUUAAUAAUUUACAUAUCUUGGAGCCCGAAUGUAACCCGAAGCCACACUUAAUGUUUGGCCAAAGAAGAUCUCUUGAUGAAAAGUUUCAUCAACCCAACAAUACUCGACAACUUAAAUGUCGUGUGAGUAUUUACAAAGUAAUUGCAUUCUUUAUCUCUAAAAUGCUCACAAGAACUUACAAGCUGCAAUUGCUUUAGGAAGAUUGGUACAUAAACUCUAAUCAGUGGGCUAAUGAUGCUCAAGUUCAAGAGGCCCUAAACAUCCGGAAGGGCUUUAUUGGAAAAUGGGCGCGAUGUAGACAUUCUGUAUUUUCAUACUA